UGGCCGCGGUAUUUUGACCGUGCGAAGGUAGCAUAAUAAUUAGUCUAUUAAAUGUGGUCUGGAAUGAAAGGUUUGACAAGGAGUAGCUUUCUUAAUUUUAUUUUUGAAUUUAAAUUUUCAGUAAAAAUGCUGAAUUGUAUUAGGAGGACGAGAAGACCCUAUAGAGCUUUAUAUAUUUAUUAAUUUUAUUGGUAUUGUUGUUUAAUAAUUAUAUUUUGUUGGGGCGACGACGAAUAUUUAAACAUUCGUUAAUUUUAUCUUAUUUAAUAGGUUGUAUGAUCCAUUAAUAAUGAUUUAAGACUAAGUUACCUUAGGGAUAACAGCGUAAUUUUACUAUAGAGUUCUUAUCGAUAGUAAAGAUUGCGACCUCCAUGUUGGAUUAGAAUUCCUUCUGUGGCGUAGUAGUUCAGGAAGGUAGUCUGU
rnacentral:rRNA from 1 species